CAUUUUAAUCAGAGGAUCAGAACAAGGGGCUAGAAGCCCUCCAGUCCAGGGCAGCUCCACACCACGUGCAGGGGGUUGGGCUGCUGAAGGGGUGCCGGGCAUGGUCCUUGGUGACACAGCAGCGUUCUAUCCUCGCCCGGGUGAUGUGGAACAUGGAGACGCCAGGGGCCCUGGUGACAUGUCACAGCCACGGCCUGCAGGGGUAUAAAAGGGGCACAGGGCCCUGCGCUGCCCAGUCCCAGGAGGGCCACUCGCUCGCGAGGAAGCAGCUCCCGGGAUCCCUGCAUGCCAGGCAACAUCGGACAUGUAGGAGGACAAGGUGAAGCCCAACUCCCAGGCUGCCAGCCCCUUGCCUUCCUGGCUGGAAGAACAGGCCCUCGGUGGGCAGUGGCUGGGGGCAGGCGACGGCUCAGGCCUGUCCUUGUCAAACACUAAGGAGGAGGGGACCUUUGACAAUAUGGAGGAAGACUGGGAAUGUGACAUAGAUCGAGAGCUUUGCCACUGGGGAGAUGUUUGCGGUCAGGAGCUUUGCCUUGGGGAAGAUGUUUGUGGCCAGGAGCUUUGCCUUGGGGAAGAUGUUUGUGGCCAGGAGCUUUGCCUUUGGGAUGAGGUGGAAGUCCGAGAGUUUUACCAAUGGCAAGAAGAAGUGACAAUCCAAGAAUUUUCCCCAUGCGGAGCUGUAAGACACCAAGAGUGGCGUCAGGGGGAGGCAGGUGUGAGAGUCCAGUGGGGAGACGGCACAGAGCAAGACGUGGAGCUGUACCGCUGGGAAGAAAGCCUGACGGAGCCCUACCACUGCGAUGAGGAGGAUGACAUAUGCCCGGAGCUGCCCCACUUGGAUGAUCCGAGAUACCCCUGCCUGUGUGAUGGGGACGGGUAUCAGGAUCCGCCUCCUUCGGACGAUGUGCCACCUCCAUGCCAUGUGCCACCUCCGUGCAAUGUACCUCCUCCGUGCAAUGUACCUCCUCCAUGCAAUGUACCUCCUCCAUGCAAUGUACCUCCUCCAUGCAAUGUGCCACCUCCCAGCAAUGUGCCACCUCCCGACAAUGUGCCACCUACCGACAAUGUGCCACCUCCCGACAAUGUGCCACCUUCGCGCAGUCUGCCACCUCCGCGCACUGUGCCACCUCCGUGCCGUGUGCCACCUUCGCGCAGUCUGCCACCUCUGCGCCGAGUGCCACCUCCGUGCUGUAUGCCACCUCCACGCCAUGUGUCAACUCCACGCACCGGCAAAUGCAUAUGUCCUCUGCACAUACUCCCAUGGGGAAGAGACAGAGACAGUGACCAAAACCUGCCUGAAUGGGAAGGAAGUGACAGCGGCCGAAGGCCAUCCCAACCGAAAGACAAUGUUGAGAUCUCUAACAAACCCUGGCGGCCAAGGAGGGACGGGGGUGGCCAGGCUUGUGCCGUGCCAGGGCCUGCCAACUGCAGGUGCGAGGUCACCCCGACGCCCAGCAGGCCUCCUGCCCCGCGGUGUGUCGCCGCCGCCAGGCUGGCAGCUGCUGUUGCUCUGGCUGAAGCUGCUGAGGACACCCUGACGCCUCUGGUUCCUGAAGACGACCCAUGCUGCCGCCUAGACACCAGCCAGGCUCUGUAUGACUUAGCAAGGGACAUCAGCUCUGACGUCAGGAGAGCAGCUGCUGCUGCUCUGGCUGGAACUGCUGAUGAGUCCCUGCAGCCUCUGCUUCUUGAACCAGACUCAUGCAGCUGCCUAGACAUCAGCGAGUCCCUGCUGCCUCUGCUUCCUGAACCAGACUCAUGCUGCCUAGACAUCAGUGAGUCCCUGCUGCCUCUGCUUCCUGAACCAGACUCAUGCAGCUUCCUAGACACCAGUGAUGUCAGGCGGGCAGCAGCUGCUGAGAAGUCCUUUCAGCCUCUGAUUCCUGAACAAGACUCAUGCAACUGCCUAGACAACAGCAAGGAUGCCAGCCGGGCAGCUGUUGCUGAGGACUCAUGCAACUGCCUGGACAGCACCCUGACUCUGAGUGACUUAGCAGGGAGCAUCAGCUCUGAGGUGGUGCGCAAGGCUGUGCGUGAGGCAUCCGGCCAGGAACAGAAGGACAUGGAAAAAAGCACGGCUUCAAAACCAGAAGGACCUGCCCCACCCCCCCAACCAGGAGCCCAGGCAGUCAGCGAGCAGCAGGAGGAGGAUGACAAGGCGAAGAGCAAAGACCUAUCUGAAAGAGAAAUCAGCAAAUCCCAAGAAGAGUCCCAAACCAGCACUGAUGGGGACUCAACCCAAGACGAAUCCAGCAAAGGCAGCAAUUAGCAGGCGUCAGCAUCAGUGGUCUCAAACAGACCAACGCCAUCAGUUUAUUAUCCUAUAGUAAAAGCAUUCAUACCUUUUCUCUGUAAACUUCAUGGGCUACUCCACACAACAUUGACUCCUUCUCUCCUUUCCUCUCCUUAUAUGUGACCAGCUAACUCCUUCCUGUCCCUAACACAACCACCUAACCCUGUCUUUCCCUCACACAACAUCCUAACUCUUCCUCCUCACAGUACAGCCAGCAUUCUCUUCUCUCUCUUUUCCUCUGUCCUCCUAACUCUUUAUACCUUUCUUUCUCAUGUGCAUAACACCUCUGUGCACUUUUACUCUUCUGUGAUUGGUCAGUACACAUCAGCAUUCCAGGCUUCUUCAGUGCUAUUCACCUGUCACAGCUGCACCCCAUCAUAGAUGAGACUCAGCCACAGCCCCAUUAGUAAUCUCCCACAAUCUGUUAUCCCACAAUUCCCCCUCUUUUCUUUUAAAUCACAAAUGCCAUGUUUACCAUUUCUCUGCAGGGCCCUUUGCAGAAAAUAUAGUAAACAUGGUACAAGCAUCUCUUCCAUAAUUUCCAUUGGCUCUGGAAUGCAUCUGUGAAUUGACCCUCGUUUAUUACCCAGAUUCACAGAGCCCAUAUCAUCCAAGUAUUUACACCUAUGCCUAUGGAAUAUUAACAAACACAACACAUAAUCAGUCCUUACACCUAUACCUAUGGAAUAUUAGCAAACACAACACAAUGAAAACACAACAUAUAAUCUAAGUCUUUGCAUCUAUGCCUAUGGAAUACUAACAAGAAUUUAGUAGCUGCAAUUCAUAAAUACAAUACAUAUGUUUCAUCAGCAAAUAAACAUAAUACCACUACUCUGUCUCCAGCUCCUUUAUCUCCUGCUUUAACAAAUUCUCUUGUUCCUUAUUCAGAUUCUGUUGCUUUUGUCUCCUGCAAUUUCAGUACUUCUAUCUGCUGAAGCAAUGCUCUCUUCGAG
rnacentral:lncRNA from 12 species